rnacentral:rRNA from 1 species
UACGGAGGGUGGCAAGCGUUAUCCGGAUUUACUGGGUUUAAAGGGUGCGUAGGCGGGCCAUUAAGUCAGUGGUGAAAGCUCCGAGCUUAACUCGGAAACUGCCAUUGAUACUAUUGGUCUUGAAUUCGGUCGAGGUUGGCGGAAUGUGUCGUGUAGCGGUGAAAUGCUUAGAUAUGACACAGAACACCGAUUGCGAAGGCAGCUAGCUAGACCGACAUUGACGCUGAGGCACGAAAGCGUGGGGAUCAAACAGG